UACGACUCUCGGCAACGGAUAUCUCGGCUCUCGCAUCGAUGAAGAACGUAGCGAAAUGCGAUACUUGGUGUGAAUUGCAGAAUCCCGUGAACCAUCGAGUCUUUGAACGCAAGUUGCGCCCGAAGCCGUUAGGGCGAGGGCACGUCUGCCUGGGCGUCACGC
rnacentral:rRNA from 1 species